GUCACCAUCUCCAUCCAAAAGUGACCAUCUUUUGAAUCCGAAAGACGUGAGUGCACAUAAUUUCCUUGAAGUAGGUGCAGCAGCUCUUCUUGUUGGUGACAUGGAAGCUAAAAUGAAGGGUGAGCCUUGGAAAAUCUUUGGGAGUUCGGAGAUGCCUUAUCUAGAUCAACUUUUGCAGCCUUCACUUCUCACGACCGUGACCAAUUCCGUGUCUGCUCGUGCCCACUUAAGAGCAAUAACAGCUCUAAAACGUUCUAAACCAGGGCCUCAUCAAAUAUGGGAGGAUUCUCCCGUGAGCACUUUCCGUCCCCGUGCAAAGCCGCUUUUUCAGUAUCGACACUACAGUGAACAGCAGCCUCUGCGAUUGAAUCCGAUGGAGGUCUAUGAGGUUAUUGCUGCAGCUUGCUCUGAGACUUCUGCUCCAAAUACUUAUCUGAUGACAUUUUCAUCUAAACUAAGUAACAACAGUGGAAAGCCGUCAAUGGACGUGGCUGUCAGUGUACUUGUCAAACUUGUAAUUGACAUGUAUGUUUUGGACUCCGAGACUGCUGCUCCUCUCGCUUUGUCCAUGCUUGAGGAAAUGAUGAAUUCUACUCGUCUGGAAUCCAAG
rnacentral:misc_RNA from 1 species